GGCCUGAACCGUGUACGUGUGAGACAAGACAAGCCAUCAACACAUCAGAAAAUCACGAAUCUCUCUUUGUUCCUGUACAGGACAUCUGCCUUUAUGGAACUGAAACAGGAAAGAAAAUGCUGCAGGUACAUUAGAGUCACUCUCAGAUGUGGAAGGCAAAGAGAUGGAUACGGUGAAUUUCAGUUCAUGUGGCACAGUGAAGCAACCUGCCAUUCAGUAGCAGACAGUGAGAUGCUCUCUUCUCUCACCAAUGGGAACAUCAGCCUGGGGUUACUGCUCCCUGGAAGCAGGAGGAGGAUUAACGAAUUAAAGAAUGGGAAAUGUCCCCAAAAGGCAAAAAUCCUUCUUUGGCUUUUCACAUCAGUGUGAGUAUAGAGGGGAGGAAUAUUCAGCACAGGAAUUCUUGGGGAAGGGCAGGCCUGUGGGUGCUCAUGGAGAUAUGCUGCCAGGAUCCUGCAGCCCAGAGCACCCCCAUGGCACUCAGAGGAACAAGCAUGCACUGAUUUUGGCAGAGGAUAAAUGUGCCCAGAGGGAGCCAACACUGAGUCAUGGCAUUACUAGAAUGCCAGCUCUAGCUGCUGUUUCAUGGUGUAUGGCACAUGAAAGAAGAACUGCUUUGGUCUUCUCCAUCCUGGUUUGUAAAACAUUUGUAAAAUGUUGUGGAUAGGCUCAUCUGUAUGCAAAAUCUCAUGGUGCUUCUCUAUGUUCUGCUUUGAAAGGAUGGACAGGGCUGUGGGAUGGAGGCAUGAAAGUUGCCUAAAAACCUAUGAAAGCACAGUGGAAAACCCUGUGCCAUCACCCCUCGGUGUUACUGUUAUUGUACCUACGUUGGGCUUAGAGCCCAGUUUGUUACUGCCCGGGAAAAGACUGCGUUUUUACCAAAGCCCCCUCACUGACCUACCUAAAAUGACAGACACACCUUCCUUAUGCUUGAGUAAGAUGAGGGAUUGGUCUAAAGUUGUAACUCUGAACCUACUGCAGCCAACAAUAAAACCAGCAUUCACAAUACAAUGGGACUGAUUAAGUCCUCCAAGGAACGAUGUGGAGAUUGAUCUCCCAGGCACAAAGCAACCAACAUAAUCCGUGACUGGAGAUGCAACAGCCUUGGUGGUGGGCAUAGUCACACUUCUGAGAGACCAACUUCUCCAUAGAGACAUGUUUUGCUUUGAUUGACAUAACUUUAAAAACAUUCCCUCACCUAAAAGAAAUCACAAAAUAUGAGGAAAUUGAAAGUUACAUGUAAUGAACAAAUUAAAAUUUUAACUG
ensembl:lncRNA